AAGAUCAUACUUCACAGGAUCAUUUCUGUAGUAUGCAUCGU
rnacentral:snoRNA from 1 species